AAAUGAAUUGACGGGGACCCGCACAAGCAGCGGAGCAUGUGGUUUAAUUCGAAGCAACGCGAAGAACCUUACCAGGACUUGACAUCCUCUGCAUCAGCCGUAACUGGUAAAAUCCCUUUAGGGACAGAGAGACAGGUGGUGCAUGGUUGUCGUCAGCUCGUGUCGUGAGAUGUUGGGUUAAGUCCCGCAACGAGCGCAACCCUUGUUUUUAGUUGCCAUCACUUUGGGUGGGCACUCUAGAAAGACUGCCAAGGUCAACUUGGAGGAAGGCGGGGAUGACGUCAAAUCAUCAUGCCCCUUAUGUCCUGGGCUACACACGUGCUACAAUGGCCGGUACAACGGGAAGCGAAAGAGCAAUCUGGAGCGAAUCCACAAAGCCGGUCUCAGUUCGGAUUGCGGGCUGCAACUCGCCCGCAUGAAGUCGGAGUUGCUAGUAAUCGCGGAUCAGCAUGCCGUGGUGAAUGCGUUCCCGGGUCUUGUACACACCGCCCGU
rnacentral:rRNA from 1 species